GGGGAUGUAGCUCAGUGGUAGAGCACUUGCCCCGAAUGUGUGAAGCCUUUGUAUUCCAUCCCCA
rnacentral:tRNA from 1 species